UUAUGGGUAGCAAAACUGGUCUCAAUGUAAAUGAAUACCAGACUGUAAAAUUCAGUAUGGUAAAUGUAGCUCUCCAAAAGGAACGAUAAAGUCAUAGUCACCACAGCUCUGUGCUUUCCUUCUUAAACAUUCAGGGGAAGAAGCAAGGAAGAACUAAUAUUUUUGAUUAUCGAUAUACACCAAAAAAAAAAAGAUCUCAGGGUUGUGAGAUUGAGCCCCAGGUCAGACUUUAGCUUAGCACAGUCUGCUUGAGAUUCCCCCUCUCCCUCUGAUCCUCCUGCUCAUGCUUGCGCCCGUGUGCUCUCUCUCUCACUCUCGCUCUCAAAUAAAUAAAUCUUUUUUUAAAAGAAAAGUUUAUAAAUACCACAGAGGAAUCCAGGAACUUAACAUAUCUCACUUAAUCCUUGCAGCAGCAUAGUUUAGAGAUAAGGAAAAUGCUCACCUAGGUGCCUCCGUUGUUAAGGAUCUGCCUUUGGCUCAGGUCAUGAUCUCAGGGUCCUGGGAUCAAGCCUCACACUGGGAUCCCUGCUCAGCAGAGAGCCUGCUUCUCCCUCUCCCUCUGACUGCCACUCCCGCUAUUUAUGCUCUUUCUUUGUCAAAUAAAUAAGUAAAAUCUUAAAAAAAAAAAAAAAAGGAAAAUUCAGUUCAGGAAAUUUGGAAACUCACAUAGCAUCAAGCAUAGAAGAAGAGUGGUAGGGUGGGGACACCUCCAGUCCUGCCCAGCUCCCAGGCAGUCCCCACUGCAAGUGUCUGCUGCACUUGGAACUUCCAUUAGGUAGUUCUGGUAGCUUUUUAGGGUAAAGUGUAGAAAAAUGUUUGAAAGUCAUUCUUUCAACCAGUUUGCUUCUUUGUUCCUAACCACCCAAGUGGAUCUAAGUGAGCAACUUUGUGAACAGUCCAAUCUCCAUAUUGAUGAGCAUAGUAGAAUCUAGAAUCUUUCCAAAAACUUCGUACUGCAGGUUUAAUAUGAUCUGAAGAAGCAGAGAUUUUUAAGCCCCCUGGCACCAUUAUUUUUGCUGAGUAUUAAUCCUUUUCUGAAGCCAGCAGCAGGACAGACAUCUCACUGAGGAUUAUAACUCUUACUAACUGAUCUCAAUUCAAUUUUGUGCCAGCCUAAGGCUAAAUUUCCAGUUAGAUAAGACAAGAUGGAAAGAACUAUAAAACAUUGUAAUUAAGGGCACAAACACUGGAGUCAGACAGCCUUGUGUAAAAACCCUGGGAGUGCCAUCAUACCAACGUGUGACUUCGAUCAAGUUAUUUUAGCACUCUGGGCCUUCGUUUCCUUUUCUGUAAAAUGGGUUCUAGGUCAUGGGUGAGUAUUUUAUGAGGAUCAAAGGAAACAUCUCUUAAGCAUUUGCAAUGCCUAGCACGUUGAAAUUAGUGAAUGACAAUUUUUAGUAAUGGUGUUCGUGUUCAGUUGUCACUAAGUUAUGUUCCUUCUACACCCAACUGCAAAUGAUAAUCAAGGCUGUGAGCUAACGAAAUCACAGAGGCCUUUACGGGCUUUGAGACCACAGACGACAAUAUGUGAUUCUAAGAGGAUCAGCUCUCAUUAACAGAACCCCUAUCAAGCUUAGUUACCAUCCAACAGGGAGUAAUGGCUUCGAAUAGUCUUUUUUGCUUAGGUAGUAUUGCAGGGAUCUUCGUGAACCACACUUGGCAUUUAUUCAGUAGCUUUCACCAAAGAAGCUCAACACGGGUCACCAAAAAGAAACUGAGCGCCCCUGGGACUCAGAAGAGUCAUGCUGCCUGACUGAUGGCCAGCCAGGAAGCAGGGAAGGCCAGAUGUGGCUCUGAUCACGCUAUGGGCCGCGAAUACGGCGGAAAUGAGAUCCUUCUGAGAUUUCUAAGAAGUGCUUUGCUCCUCUGGCUCGAGACGGGCAGACGACAGCACUAAGGAGAGGUCGUGAGGCCCAGCAACUGUCGGCGAACGCAGAGGCCUCACAGGGCUGGUUUAGCAAAGGGAGAGGUAAGAAUGGCAAACACAGUCCGCAGAUGGGGCUGACGGGCGUUCUAGACAGGAAACGACCCUGGAGCAGCUCGGGCUGGCACCUGGUAGGGUUCGCGCUGUUUCCACCAUGUGGUCUGUGAGAAGUGCAAUGCCAUCUGGCAACGCCCUCCCGGAAGCACGAGUUAGUUCGGUUCUCAGCUGCCCUUUCGGCCACACGGGCUCUUUCACUAACAUGUAACUCAACCGACAGACAGCAGAACCGACGUGGAGGUCUCGAAGCACCCCUAGGGGUUGUCAGAGCCGCGGGACCGCGCAGCUCGGUCACACACCCUGCACGGUCCCCAGUCCCGGCGGAAGCGCCCCUCCCCCGAUCUCGGUUCCGCCCCGCGGCGCGCAGGCGUGACGUCCCCACAACCCGCCAAUCAGGGCGCGGGACCAAAAUAGCGCCGUAUAAAGGCGUGCAGGCCGGCGCCGCCGUCUCAGAGCCGCGCUGGGGCGGGGUUGCGCGCGCAGGUGAGCGGGGCGGGUCGGCGCGCACCUGCUUCCGCUGGACGCGGGCCGGGGAUGCGCUUGGCUGCGGCUCGGGCGCUCACGGAACCUGCCGUGUCCCGGUAACACCGACGCAACCGGGCUCUAGUUCAAUAGAAGUCGUCACCACUCCCCCAACUGGUUUCCAGUUCGGAAAGGAGCGCCGACCGCAACCUGCGGCUUGCGCAAUCAAAGGGCCUGUUUAAAGAGCAGACCACGACCGAGCUUCCAGGAUGGCUCCGUGUCCCGCCCGAGAACACGUACUGUCGCGGGCGCUCAGCCCUGCGGGAAGUCUAAGAGGAAUGGACGCGGCUCUCUGCGGAGCGGGGUCCACGCCCAACUGAGGCCCGUGGUAGUCACAAGUAGGCAGAGAGGCCGGCAGAAAGAGAGGGGAAGCAGGCUCCCUGAUGCGGAUGCGGGGCUCGAUGAUAGGGCCCUGAGAUCAUGACCUGAGCCGAAGGCAGAGACUUAACCCACUGAGCCACCCAGGCGCCGCUAAUUUGCCUGUUCUUGAACUUAAUAUAAUUGCAACCAAA